GAUGAACGCUCGCGGCAGGCUUAAUACAUGCAAGUCGUGGGGCAGCAGGACUGUAGCAAUACAGUUGCUGGCGACCGGCAAACGGGUGCGGAACACGUACGCAACUUACCCUGAACUGGGGGAUAGCCCGGGGAAACCCGGAUUAAUACCCCGUAAUAUAAUGGAGUGGCAUCACUUUAUUAUUAAAGCUCCGGCGGUUCGGGAUGGGCGUGCGGCUGAUUAGGUAGUUGGUUGAGGUAACGGCUCACCAAGCCUACGAUAAGUAACUGGUGUGAGAGCACGACCAGUCAGACGGGAACUGAGGCACGGGCCCGAAUCCUACGGGAGGCAGCAGUAAGGAAGAUUGGGCAAUGGAGGCAAAUCUGACCCAGCCAUGCCGAGUGGAGGAUGAAGGCCCUCUGGGUUGUAAACUUCUUUUAUAGGGGACGAAACCUGUGUAUUCUUACGCAGUUGACGGUACCCUAGGAAUAAGCACCGGCUAACUCCGUG
rnacentral:rRNA from 1 species